UGCCAGCCGCCGCGGUAAUACUGAAGGUGCAAUCGUGAAUCGGAAUCACUGGGCGUAAAGCGCUCGUAGGUGGCUUUGUAAGUCAGAUGUGAAAGCCCACGGCUCAACCGUGGAAUUGCAUUUGAUACUGCAUCGCUAGAGUAUAGGAGAGGGAAGUGGAAUUUCUGGUGUAGGAGUGAAAUCCGUAGAGAUCAGAAGGAACACCGGUGGCGAAGGCGACUUCAUGGACUAUUAAGGAAACGGAGGAGAGAACGCGUGGGGCGCAAACAGGAGUAGAUC
rnacentral:rRNA from 1 species